rnacentral:rRNA from 1 species
CACGUAGGGCGCAAGCGUUGUCCGGAAUUAUUGGGCGUAAAGAGCUCGUAGGUGGUUUGUUACGUCUGCUGUGAAAACCUAGGGCUUAACCCUGGGCUUGCAGUGGAUACGGGCAGACUAGAGGUAGGUAGGGGAGAAUGGAAUUCCUGGUGUAGCGGUGAAAUGCGCAGAUAUCAGGAGGAACACCGGUGGCGAAGGCAAUCCCCUGGGCCUGCACUGACGCUCAUGCACGAAAGCGUGGGGAGCAAACAGG